UCCAGCAGUCCAGCUCGCCGUCGUCUCCGUCUCGUCUUCGCGGCGUCCGCGCGCACCCACCUGGCCACCUCCCCGUCUUCGCGCCCCUCGUCUCACCAGCACGGCACGCGAGGUCGCUGUGUGCGGCGGCGGCAGCGUGUAUUGCUGCGGGUGCGGAGCUGAGCAUUCCCGUCGGAUCCUCGAUCCUGUCUACGAGUGAAGCUUUGUAGCUUAGCUCCUGUUUCAUUUUCAGCCAGGGAGUGUUGUUGAAGAUGGCAAGAAAGAAAAAUCCCCUUGUUUUCCUAGACGUAUCGAUUGGUGAUGAUCAUGCAGGGAAAAUGGUUUUUGAGCUGUUUGCUGAUGUUGUUCCAAAGACAGCUGAGAACUUUCGAGCAUUGUGCACAGGUAAUCUUCCUUAACCUGGUUAACAAUCUCAAAUGUACGGUCUUUUUGUUCGAUCAAAGAACUUCUUCACCAAAUUAGCAUAACCCACAUAAUUCAAGCUAUGUUGUGGCCUGUUAUGGGCAAGGACUUCUUCUACACAUAUUUCGUUGAACACUUUGGCUGCAAAUGCAUCCCAUCUAGCUGGAACCUUUGUUAUUUUUUCCAUCUAUAAAUUGCAAAAUUGGUGGAAUUUCUAGUACCAUGAAUACAUGUAGGCUAGAUUUCUACUGCAAGAUUGGUAGGAAUUUCUACCAGCAUGAAUAUAUAUAUAGCCAUAAUUUCUACUGCACAAAGUAG